AAGCAUUCUCCCAACUUCAGGGAAUGUAGACAGCAGCACAGGGCCUAGUUCAUAAUAGAUGUUCAACAAGGGUGUAUUAAAUUGGAUCUACAUUUUCAAAUAUUUAGUUUCGAGUGAAAAUAACUAAAUCAUAUGUGAAUUAACUCUGUUUACGCUGAAUUCUGAAAACACAACUUCAGACACAUUCAGCUUGAAAAUUCUCUACUGAGAGUACUAUUUGCCUCCUCUACAUACUAGAGGCAAAAUCCACAGAUACAUUCAAGUUCUUUUACAUCUCCUGAUGAAAAGGCUUGAGACAACUUUCUGACUUCAAGGGUGUGGAAAAUUCUACUUUUCUCAGGAACCAUGUAGGCUACAGAUAUCUCUGUUCCCAAGAAACAACACAUAAAACAGUAACAAAUCAGAAGAGAGUGGAUAGAGACUGAAGUGGACCUUCCUGGCUGCCAACUCAUUUUAAGUCCAGUUUUCCGCGUUCCCAGGAUCUCUUGCACCUGAGGCACAACCAUGUGGCCUAAAUUUUGCCAAACGCACCAUAUGGAGUUGGGUUUGCAAUUUAGCAAUGCAAGACAGAGGCUGCACUCUGGGGAACGGAUCUUCUGACAGAGUUUCUGAGCACCGGUGAGGGGAGGCCAUUCCUGCCCCGAGUCCAGCCCGAGCCUCCUCUCCACGACGGGAGAUGUUCCUUCAACCUGAGCACCGAAGCACGUGCAAAACAUCAGAAACUUAAGGUCAACUUAUUUCUAAACAAAAGAGUUUUAUCAGCUCCUGAUAACAUCCUCUCUCUUGUGCAUCCAUCCACAUCAAUGCAGCAGGCACUGCAUUUAAAAAUCACCACGGGAGCUAGAAGUUCUUCACAACAGAAUAUUCACUUUGGAGAAAAGAGAAAAGAAGUCAAAGAGAAAAACAGAGCUUUCAAUCACAGCAAGGAUGGACUUCGAGUAUCCUUGGAGUUGAGUUUCCCAAAGCACCAGCAUUGGUUUGAUGGAAAGAGCCUGUCCCGAGAAUCAGAAGGCUCGGUGGCUCUGCUGCUUUCUACAGGGGGAGCUUAUGCAAGUUACUGAAUGCUCGCAGUCUCACUUUCCCUAUCUCUAAUAACAAUACCUAUAUCAAUGAGCAAAUGAAAUCUUUUUUGUGAAAGUACCUUAUAAAGCACUAUUGAGAUAUUAGUUAUUUAAAGUGAGACAACCACACUUCUCUCCUUCCUGUAAACAUUAGAGAAUACAAAUCUGUACAUUAUUGUUAUGUUGCAUUUUAAGCCCUAAUUUAAAUUUGACAAAGUAAAUAAAGCAUAGAAUUCUAGAAUCUUAGAAUAUUAAACUGGAAGACGUCUUAAAGAUCAUUGAGGUUCAACUCCCUCAUUUUAAAGAACUUUUUAAAAAUGAUUAUCAGGAAAGUUAAUUGACACUGAUCUUAGUGCAGUAAUUAUUUAAAAUCGGGCUAAAAAUUGGCUCAUUAUAAAACCAUAUUAA